UACGUAGGGUGCAAGCGUUAAUCGGAAUUACUGGGCGUGAAGAGCUCGUAGGUGGUUUGUCGCGUUGUUCGUGAAAACUCACAGCUUAACUGUGGGCGUGCGGGCGAUACGGGCAGACUGGAGUACUGCAGGGGAGACUGGAAUUCCUGGUGUAGCGGUGGAAUGCGCAGAUAUCAGGAGGAACACCGGUGGCGAAGGCGGGUCUCUGGGCAGUAACUGACGCUGAGGAGCGAAAGCGUGGGGAGCGAACAGG
rnacentral:rRNA from 1 species